rnacentral:rRNA from 1 species
AUUGAACGCUGGCGGCAGGCCUAACACAUGCAAGUCGAACGAGUGGCGGACGGGUGAGUAAUGUCUGGGAAACUGCCCGAUGGAGGGGGAUAACUACUGGAAACGGUAGCUAAUACCGCAUACUAUCGGAUGUGCCCAUAUGGGAUUAGCUAGUAGGUGGGGUAACGGCUCACCUAGGCGACGAUCCCUAGCUGGUCUGAGAGGAUGAUCAGCCACACUGGAACUGAGACACGGCCCAGACUCCUACGGGAGGCAGCAGUGGGGAAUAUUGCACAAUGGGCGCAAGCCUGAUGCAGCCAUGCCGCGUGUGUGAUGAAGGCCUUCGGGUUGUAAAGCACUUUCAGCAGGGAGGCGUUACCUGCAGAAGAAGCACCGGCUAACUCCGUGCCAGCAGCCGCGGUAAUAC